AAAAUUGAACAUGUUGAAUGUCUGGAGAAUUUCAGCAAAAGUAUCAUAAGUCAUAGGUUAUUGGGGACAGGAAAAUGUUUUUUUUAUCCCUCCUCCUUUAUUUCCAAAAUUCACAAUUUUUGGUUUUCUAUCAAUUUCAACAUGAACAUACAAUUAGUAUAGUAUGAACAUUUAAGUAAGGAGCCUGUAAUUCAGUGGUUGUCGUUUGUUUAUGUGUUACAUAUUUGUUUUUCGUUCAUUUUUUGUAAAUAAAUAAGACCGCUAGUUUUCUGGUUUGAAUUGUUUUACAUUGUCAGUUCUGGGCCUUUUAAAGCUCAGUAUGCGGUAUAGGCGUUGUUGAAGGUCGUACGGUGACCUAUAGUUGUUAAUUUCUGUGGCAUAUUGGUCUCUUGUGAAUAGUUGUCUCAACAUGGCAAUCAUACCACAUCUUCUGUUUUUUUUUAAAUCAAUGAAUUUUGUAAAAGAUUUAAUGACUGGAGAUUUUCAGAAAAGGUAUAAAAAAUUCACAUGAAUAUUUUUAGCGCUUAUCUGUAUAUUAU
rnacentral:lncRNA from 1 species